GCUUGAAGAAGUAGCAGGACGGGACGCGGGAGGUGGCAGCGGUGGGACCGGCAGGCGGUGGGGGGUGCCAGGAGUGGGCGCCGAGUCCGCCGUCACUUGACUCGCAGAAAAUCCCAGGAGAGAGGGUUGGGGGCAACGUGGGCGUCCUCGAGUGGGCGGCGGCGGGCGGAAAGUGGCGCGAGCGCCGAGCGACGGGGCUGUGGGGGGGAGGGGAGCUGCAGUUUGAGCGGGACGCGGACGCGCUGCGGCGGGGCGGCCGCCGCCCAGCGGAUCUGUCAGCAGGACCCCCCGCCCGGGCCGGGGGCUGGGCGCGGCGGGGUCUCGGCCGCCGUCACCGCCUGACAGGAGGGAGGGGACGCGCGCCCUCCCCCCACGUCCCGAACCGAGUCGCCUUUUCUCGCAGUUUUCCCGGCCCGCUGAUGGCCGCCUUCUCUUGACAAGAAACUUAAGGUCGACGGAAAAUUCAGGACCCAGAGUCCUGGGUGUCUGCGGUCUGUCGCGACCGACAGUGCCCCGGCCCGGCGGCACUCGGACGUUUAGAUGGCCGUCUCCUGACGCUAAAGCUUGAGGUGCCCGGGGCCGGAGAGUUUCGCUGCCUUCGCCGCCCUCCCCCUGCGCGCUUCCGUCCCGGUGCGGUCUUUUUAGUCUUUGAGACAUUUGCAAGGGGAAAAAGCGACCUGUGAAACUGUUUUGAUGUUUUCCUCCCGAAAAGUCUGUACCCGGACAACUUAACGCUGGUGGAUUCUAUCAAAUCUUACUCGAUAACUCUUGAACGAUAUAAGCCAACGACGGUUUUAACUUCAGGUAUCACAAUAUGGAUAAUGGCCUUUGUAAAAAUCGCGCAUUAAAGAUCUUUUAGAUCUUGGAUCCUUUUCUGCGCUGAAGGCAUCGCUAGAUUAACCCUUUACUGGGAUGAUUUGCGUGUGGGGUGAGCGGCGUUGGCUGCAAAUCUUGGAGAGAUGGUUUUAGCAGUAGCUGUUCAAUUGUUCGCAAAGAGGAAUAGCGCUUCCUUGGAACCGCAGAGACACACGCUUUAGGACUGCCUGCCUGCAGGACCCCCCGCCCCCGCCCCGAUAGGGUGGAAGGAUCGAUUGAUUUCUUAUUUCUUUUGAAGACUGGGGGACCCGCCCUCACUUAGAAUCUUUCCGGGAGAAGACCAGGAGAGCGCAAAAUGAAGUUUUUCGAAUUGUGUCUAACGGAGCUCCCAAAACACCGGACUUUUACCCCCUGAUUGGCUGGAAGGAAGCGGGACUGGGGGGUUUGAAUGUUGAACGCUAGAUUAUAAUUCUCAACUUUCCGAAAAAUUAUACUUUUAGUUAGAGAACCACGGAAAUAAUUACAAAACGUUAAGACGGAUAGUUUAAAAGAAAAAGUUGGUGUUUAAUAAUUUCUUAACUUCCAUAAAAGACUUUCGGAUAGUUCUGAAAUAUGUAUUAAAACUGGAGAAGUUAUUUUCACAAAAUUGUAUUUCUGCUGGUUGAAAUGACAAGACUUUUAUAUAUUUGCCCCUGUUCUUUAUUGCCUAAAAACUCAGUAAAGGAUUUAGGGAUUCUUUUUUCCUGUAAUAGAAACUUUUCUCCUUAAACUGCGUGUAUUUGUUGGAUGCAGGUUACGGGAAAAAUGUUUCUUUCAUUUUGAUGAAAAGAAACUUUAAUUUUCUUAAUGCUAACAAAUGAUCUUUUCCACAUUUUCAAUUAAAAUUGGAUAUAUUUUGAAAACUUUUGUAUCUAACCUAAAAUGUGUAGGUUUUGCUAAUUCGUCCAUUGCAGUGGACUUGAAACUUGGGUAUACAAGACAUUUAUGUUUCUUAAUCUAGGUAAUACAACAGGUAAGUGUGUACAGGUGCGUAUAUGUGACGUUACUUUGGGAGUUAAUUAUGAAGAAAUGUGUACAACAAAAUGAAUGUGUUGUCAUUUACAUGAUUGGUUUUCAGUUGAUUUUGUUUAAAGUUGCUUGAGACAACCGUCAAUACAUUUUUAUUUAUUACCAAGCUUGUCAUUCCAUUUAAUUGCAUCUUGAUAAGAUGCGGGUGUGUUUUUCAAAGAAAGGCAGUAAAUUCAACAAUAAACAGCUGUGAAUGCCUUUAAAAAUAAUUUUUACUUUAAUAGAAGUUUAUAUCCUUUUAUGAAUAGUUCAAAUUUUGAAACUUAGCUUGUAUUUUCACAUUGGAUCAAAUACACAUUGUUAGAAAAUAUUCAGAUUAAAAGAGCUUUUGACUUUUAAAUCUAUAGGGUUUUAAAUGCAAAUUGUUAAUAAGUCAGAUAACUAUGUUUAUAAAUAAUAAUAUUUUUGUAUUGCCUUCAAAGCAUGAAAUGUGAUUUCAGAGCCCAUGGUCACUACUUUUUUUCAGAACUAUUUAUUUUGGAUUACCUUGUGAAAAUUUCACAAAAGGUGGUAAUUAAUCUCUAUAAAAUUUGAUUUAAUGGAAUUGUGCAUCUCAUUUCUGUUUAAAUGUAGUUACACCUAGACUACCAGAAGUAGGAGUUUUGCUUUUUACUUUUUUUUAAUUUUAUAUUUUAAUUUUCAUUCAAAUUGUGACUGAGUUUUUUGAGGGGGGAGGCUUUAAGCUCCAUCAGGCUGAUUAAAUUUAAUCAUACUUCUUUAAUGUAUUAGUUUAUGGGAUUUUUUGGUUUGUUUUGGAGGUGGUAGGUCAAGGAUUGCUUUGUUUAAUUUGUUUUUAAAAGAAAGGAUUUCUUUAUUUAAAAUACUUAAUUUAAAGCAUGAGAACACACUAGCACCUAAAUAAAAUCCACAGCAUUCAAAAUGUACUCCCUUUUAUAUAAUGCUAGAUAACAUUAUUAGCUUUUAGAUUUAUGAACAUGUGUAGGUAUGACUUCCAACAGAUGUAUAUUUUUUAGCUUUUAUAUACAGUUACCCAUAUUUCUCAAAUAAUAAUUCUCAUUUUUAUUUUCUACUCUAUUUGUAAAAGUCAUUUAUUAUUCCAGGAAAACAAAGGUGGGGAAUAGUAUUGCUACAGUAGCUCACCUCUUCUUUCAGUUUUAUUUAAGCUAGAUUUACAUACUAUGGAGAAGAAACAAGAGAAGGUAUCAUUCUUGUAGCAAUGCUUCUCAUUUUUUUGCCCUUGAUAACUAUUUUUUUUAAAUCCAUCUAAAAGGGCAGUAUUGGACUCUUUAAAAAUGUUAUUAAUUGUUCUUAGCUGUAGAUUUACAGAAUAUAGCCUCAAGUGUUUAUAUGUGACACUAUAUAUUUUCUAAUCAAAUUAAUAUCAUUCUUAGUGUUUAUCAAGAACAGCUAAAUUUUAUGGUGACUUUUGUAUUCUGGCUCCCAUGUUUCAUCAAUCUUUGUGUGCCACAUUUUUGUUUUGUUUUGUGGAGACUUACACAUUUUCAUUUCUAUUUAUUUGUUGAUAUGUAGUAACUAUUCAGAAUGUCACAAAAUACUUCAGAAAUGCUGCUCAGUUGAUUGGGUUUACCAAAAAAAAAUUCCCAGAGACUCUAUUAGAUAUUUCUUCUGCAUAACACAUAAGCUUUCUCAAAUUAGUUGUAAAUAUACAGUGUUUUGGAAAUUAUUCUGUAAUAGUCUCUUUUUUAAAAAAUAUUACUGAUAUAAAAUUAGCUUUUUUUUCUUUUGCUUGUUGAAGCUUAAUAAUACCCACAUUGACUUUUUAACCCCUUUUUAAGAAAAACAGAUUAUUGAUGUGAUAUCUAGAAUACACAUCUUGUCAUAUUAGAAUAGAUAUGUAAUUUUUUUAAAAAAUUCAGCAAACUUAAAAACAUUGUGCUAGGCAACUGAUUUUGGCACAUAAUUAGAACUCAAAGUAUGAGUUGGUGAAUUUUGUAGCCCCAAAUAUCAUAAGACCAAAGGAAGUCAGUAAUAAAAGACCACUUUAUUUCAAAUAAGUGUUGAAAGUGAGAAUAAGCAUUUAGAAGUGACAGCAUUAAAACCUUAAAAUCAGUGUCUUAAGAGUAACAACGUCAGUUUUAGAAUACUAUAUUACUAAUGUGUCUUAAUUUAUUUGACUAUUUGCAUUACAAAUUAUGGUAUAGAUCCUUCAUAUUAAUGUUGCUUUCUGGUAGAUAAUUUUUUUGCCUUUUUCCCCCCUAUAUUACAGAUGCUUUAGGAUUUUUUUCUUUUUGGAGAGGCAAGUUUUGAAUAUUGGAAUUGAUACUAAAUACACACAUAUAUAUCUGAAUGUUUUGACCUUUAGGAGAGAGCCAAUUCUGGAGAACAACCUAACUUCUUUGACUGAAUACUCACAAAACACACGGGAACAUGAUAGGAGAGGAAGAUUUAAUAAUGAUAAAAAUGAAGACAGUAAUAAAACGGCCUUCAACCUACAUAGCAGUGCUUAACUUAUGUAUUUAUUCACUUGUGAGGCAGAGUUACAGAGAGGGCAAGAGAGAGAGCGAAGUCAUCCAUCUGCUGGUUCACUCCUCAAAUGGCCACAGUGGACGGAGCUGAGCCAACCCAAAGCCAGGAGCCAGGAGCUUCUUCCAGAGUGAACAUAACCAGGGUCCUUCAACUGGUUCUUACAACAUGAAUUCUAGACCAGUAUCCUGGAUAUUUCCCUUUGGGUCUGCAACAUUUUGUAGUAUUUCUUUAAAAAUAUUUUGUAUAAAAUUGAGCCCAUCCUACUUGAUGUGACCAAAGAACAAAAGACAGUGCAUCUCUUAAGAAUAAGAUGUCUUUUGAAGGGUGUACUUCCAGAUGUAAAUUCCACUUUUACCAAGGUAUGAAUUUUGGCACCAUUGCUGUUCCCCUUAGAAAAGUUACAUCUAACUUACAUGCUGGCCUGCUGACUUAUCUUUUCAUGACUCCUAAAUUAUGGAGGAGUGCUGUCAGAGCCGCACUGGAAAACCAGGUCGUGGUAAGAAGGUCUUUGUGGAGGCAGUGGAAGGAAGGUCACCUGCGGGGGGAAGGAGUUGCUAUUCCAGGCCGAGGGAGACAAUUGUGAUGACUAGAGUAACUGAGUUCCUGCCAGCCACAUGGGAUACCUGGAUUAAGUUCCUGGCUUCCAGUUUCAGCCUCUCAGCCAUCGCAGGUAUCUGGGGAGUGAUAGUGGAACAUCCUUUCUCUUUUGUCUGUCGGUCUCUGUUCCUCUGAACAAAGACUAAGCUCAGGUAGCAGAACUACUUUAUAGUUUUAUAUUAGAUAAUGAUUAUACAUUUAUAAUUGUGAAAAAAUACCCAUUUCAAAAAAUUUUUUGCAUCAACAUAAGCAUGAACUUUUUGAAGUACCCUCAUAUGCAUGUAAAAUGAAAGAAAAGAUUGUUCUGUUUCAAAAUGUUGUGUCAUAUGUCAUAAAUGUGUAAAAAUGUGAUGUAGGAAAUUACAACUUUUGAAAAGCACUGAGAAUGGCUUUAAAGAGGGACUUUAGUGUGUACUCUGCAUUACUGUGCAGCUACGAAACUACUUGAAAGUAAAAUAUUUAUUUGUUUUACUAGAAAAUCAGUUACAGAGAGACAGGCAGAGAGAGGUCUUCUAUCCACUGGUUCACUCCCCAGAUGGCUGCAACGGCUGGAGGUGGGCCGAUCUGAAGCCAGAAGCCAGGAGCUUUUUCCUGGUCUCCCACACAGGUGCAGGGGCCCAAAGACUUGGGGCCAUCUUGCACUGCUUUCCCAGGCCACAGCAGAGAGCUGGAUCGGAAGUGGAGCUGCUAGGACCUGAAUCAGCACCCAUAUGAGGUGCCAGCACUGCAGGCACACCCCCCUUUUUAAGAUUAAUAUUCUCUUUUAGAACAAUGAAGGUAAGCCUUUUGAUGACCUUCCAACCCCAAGUCUGGUUCCACAGUUUAUCAACUCCACUACUCUGUCAUCUUUGACCUAAGAAUUCUCCACAAAGGCCAGAUUUUUGUGUAAGCAGUAAAACAGGAAAGUGGUAGGGGCAGUACUCAAUAAAGUAAGGCUAAUUUGCUAUCUUCACAAGGUUAAUAUCGCCAGCAAGUCUUACCUGAGUAUAUUAAAUAAAUAAGAGGAAAAGAAAGGAUACACCAAGUAAUUGGGAUGAGGAGAAGAGAAAAGGCACCCAAAGCAAAGAGAAACUUUGAAGAAAAUUGAAAAGGAUACUGCAGUAGGAGCCAACAGGAAUUUUAAGGCAAUCCAGUAAGAUCAAAAGUAAAAAGGAAAAUGUCACACACAGGAAAAUUUAGGAAUAAUAAGCAGUCAUCCCAAAGCCAUAAUCAACUUACAGCUCUUAACAUGAAUGGGGGGGUGGGGUGGGAAAUAAUCCUUGGAAAUUUCUUUAAAUUGCAUCAAAAUUACAAUAGAUCCUCUUUGGUCCAUUUUUAGUGAUACAGCUUACAGAUUUUGGUUUGUAAUUUGAAAGAUUCUAAUUUUUUCUCUCAAAACCUAAACACUAUUUUCUCUUUCCCUGCUUCUUUAUACUCAAUAUUUCCCAUAGGACAGAACGAUGUGACCACUUUCGCAGCUGACUCAACUACUUUUUAGAGAAAACGGAAAUACAUUAGUUAGAUUCAAGAAACCACAGCAGGCUUCUUUUGUUGCUUCAGAAUUAAAAGGUUUUAGUUUCAUGAACAAACGAUACUCUCCACAGUUAAAUGAAGUUUCUUCAAAUACAGCUAACACAUAAAAUGUGAAGAGAUCAACAGAGCUUAUCCCUUUAAUGUGAACUAAGGCACAUAAAAGCACACAUCCCCUCCAUCUUUUUGGGGGGAGCUGCAUUUUUUUUCCUAAAAUAAGAAUCUAGAAACAAUAUCUAAACAAAAUUACUGUCCACUGUUACCCAUUCAACUUAAGUUUUCCAAGAUUCAUUUCUUCCUUUGCUUCUGAAUAUCAAAUUCUAAAUCUUCAAACACAAAAAUCUAUUUUCCUACCAAUUAAAAAUUUCCCAAAUGUUUUAUGCCGACAAUUGCAACAGCUACAUGCAUACUAGUUGUCUACCGCCUUGCUGGAAAAAAGUCAGCCUCCUUUUCCUGCCAUAUUUAUACUUUUCACAUACUUUUCAAUUCACACAUAAGAAAAUUCAUUUUUUGGUGCACAGAACUUUUUUUUUUUUAAGAUUUAUUUAUUAAUUUGAAAAGCAGAGUUUUGGAGACGCAGCGGCAGAGAGAGAGGUCUUCCAUCCACUGGUUCACUCCCCAGAUGGCUGCAACGGCUAGAGCUGUGCCGAUCCAAAGUCAGGACCUUCUUCUCGGGUCUCCCACAUGGAAGCAGGGUCCCAAAGACUUGGGUCGUCCUCUACUGCUUUCCCAGGCCAUUGCAGAGAGCUGGAUUGGAACAGGAGCGGCUGGGUCUCGGACCGACACCAUUUGGGAUGCCAACACUGCAGAAGGCAGCUUUACCUGCUACACUACAGCACCAGCCCCUCAGCUACUCCACUUCUGAUCCAGCUCUCUGCUAUGGCCUGUGAAAGCAGUAGAAGAGGGCCCAAGUCUUUGUGCCCGUGCACCCACAUGGGAGACCUGGAAGAAGCUCCUGGAUCCUCUUUGAAUCGACCGUUGGCAGCCAUUUGGGCAGUGAAAAACCGGAUGGAAGAUAUCUCUCUUUCUCUGUCUCUAACUCUGCCUUUCAAAUAAAUAAAUCUUUAGAAAAAAAGUUUCAAAACAGUACCUAAGUAUCAGGUAACCAGAAAGCAAAUACAGAAACUGUCACUCACAAUAAAUUAUGCCAAGCUCUACUACACUGAGCCGCCGAGCUUAUCUUGAAACAAUACUAGUAGCUCAUUAAAAGAAAAUCACUUCCUCUUGACACACUCAUCUUACUGGCAAAUAGUGUAUAAUAUUUUGUUUCAGAAUGAGGUCCAUGGCCAACGCUGUGGCUCACUUGGUUAAUCCUCCGCCUGCGGCACCAGCAUCCCAUAUGGGCAGCGGGUUCUAGUCCCAGUUGCUCCUCUUCCAGUCCAGCUCUCUGCUGUGGCCUGGGAAGGCAGUGGAGGAUGGCCCAAGUGCUUGGGUCCUACACCCGCAUGGGAGACCAGGAGGAAGCACCUGGCUCCUGGCUUCGGAUCAGCACAGUGCCGGCCGUAGCGGCAAUUUGGGGAGUGAACCAACGGGAGGAAGACCUUUCUGUCUGUCUCUCUAACUCUACAUGCCAAAUAUAUAUUAAAAAAAAAAGAAAAAUGAGGCCCACUAAUAAAUGCUUUCUUAAAACUAAGGGCAUCCAGUUAAUGAGUCUAAGUAGAUAAAGAUAUUUAUUACAGUCUGAAUUUUCUGUUCGAAUAUCUUCAUAAUAAAAACUUGUGGAGAAAAUAAAAGAGGAAGGCCAAUUAUUUAAAAAAAAAAAAAAAAAACGAGUUUAAAAAGUAAAGUUUUGGCUGGCACCAUGGUUCACUAGGCUAAUCCUCCGCCUGCGGCGCCGGCAGCCAGGUAUUCUAAUCCUGGUUGGGGCUUCGGUUCUGUCCCGGUUGCUCCUCUUCCAGUCCAGCUCUCUGCUGUGGCCCGGGAAGGCGGUGGAGGAUGGCCCAAGUGCUUGGGCCCUGCACCCCAUGGGAGACCAGGAGGAGACACCUGGCUCCUGGCUUCGGAUCGGCGCAGCGCGCCGGCCACAAUGCACCAGCCGUGGAUGACACUUUGGGGGUGAACCAACAGAAAAAAAGAAGACCUUUCUCUCUGUCUCUCUCUCACUGUCUAACUCUGCCUGUCAAAGAAAAAAAAAAGUAAAGUUUUGAGGCAGGCAUCUGGCCUAGCAGUUAAUACACUGUUAAGCACACUUUAUAGUGGAGCACCUCGGUCUGAUGCCUGGCUCUGGCUCCUGACUCCAGCUUCCUGUUACUGCAGACCCUGGGAGGCAGCAGUGACUGCUCAAGUGAUUGGGUUCCUGCCACCUACAUGGGAAACCUGGAUGGAGUUCCUGGCUUCCAGCUUUAGCCCCACCAAGACCAGGUAUAUGGGGUACAGUCAGCCAAUAUGUGGGAGCUCUCUCUCCAUCUAUCUCUGCCUGUCAAAUACAUAAAAAAUAUUUUAAAUACUGGCCAAGUAUGAUAAACUUCACAAGGAGCUUACUCUGCUUUAGUACAGCUUUAUCUUUCUUAAAGUAAAAAGUAUAUUACCAGAAAUCUCUGGGUCCAGGCCAAAGAGGAGACUGCCAUGCCUGUCUGGCUUUCAGUUUGUGACCUUUGACAAACCACAUAUACAUAUUACAGCUCCUUCCUCAUCUGUAUAACUGUUUUGGAAGUUACAUAUGAAAAAUUAUUUACAAAGUUUUUAGGUUCUUUGUACCAAUGUCAUACUUCAUUCUGGCUUUAAGCGACUCCCUAUGACUUAAAGGAUCAAAGCAGAACAAAGUAAGGUUAAAAAGAGGUAAGAUUUCAGAUUAUUUCUCUUCACAAAGGGAUAUAAAAAUUAAUGACCUGUAUUCACAUACUCACAGUUUCUAAAAUGGCUUUUGCAACAUAGAAAAGUUACCUAUGUGUCCACAUAAAGUAAUAAAUAGGGCCAGCACUGUGCCAUAGUGGGUAAAGCCGCCGCCCGCAGCACCAGCAUCCCAUAUCGGGGCCGGUUGACCCCUGGCUGCUCCACUUCUGACCCAGCUUCCUGCUAAUGUGCCUGGGAAAUCAGCAGAGGAUGGCCCAAAUGCUUGGGCCCCUGCAUCCAUGUGGGCGACCUGGAGGAAUCUCCUGUCUCCUGGCUUCAGCCUGGCCCAGUCCUGGCUGUUGCAGCCAUUUGGGGAGUGAACCAGCUGACUGAGGAUCUCUCUCUCCCUCUUCCUCUCCCUGUCUAACUCUGCCUUUCAAAUAAGUAAGUCACUCUUUUUGUUUGUUUGUUUGUUUGUUUGACAGGCAGAGUGGAUAGUGAUUGAGAGAGACAGAGAGAAAGGUCUUCCUUUUUGCCGUUGGUUCACCCUCCAGUGGCCGCCACGGCUGGCGCGCUGCGGCCGGCGCACCUCGCUGAUCCAAAGGCAGGAGCCAGGUGCUUCUCCUGGUCUCCCAUGGGGUGCAGGACCCAAGCACUUGGGCCAUCCUCCAUUGCCUUCCCGGGCCACAGCAGAGAGCGGGCCUGGAAGAGGGGCAACCGGGACAGAAUCCGGCGCCCCGACCAGGACUAGAACCCGGUGUGCCGGCGCUGCUAGGUGAAGGAUUAGCCUAUUGAGCCGCGGCGCCAGCCAGUAAGUCACUCUUAAAUACUUUCUCCCAACGUAUUUCUAGGAGGGUUCCUGAUAAAUGGGGCAAAUAGAGCUAGUGCAGCUUUGAGGACUUGGAAUGUUCACAAAGGUUUUUUGGACUAAGGUGACAGUCCCCAAAACAGAAAUUAGGUCAUUGCCUUAUGUUUCCGAUGCUAUUUCAAUGGGUACAACCUUGAUUUCCUCCCAUUCUUUCCUUAUCCCUGACCCUUCUCUCUCUCGUACCUUAUUUAACUUAUUUGUUAUCCUCCUCUCCCUUUUCUUCCUGCAUUACUUGGUCAUCAACCAAGAUACUAUAGCACAAUUUAUGUCCAUCUGCAGCAUCAAAUCAAUAAAGGUUUUAGGAUACCCCCUAAACCUAAUAAUUCUAUCCCAUUUGUGUACAACUACUGUGAAAUCUAGGCGGACUCUAAUUGGUAUCCACAAUUCAGAUUAAAGAAAUUUGAAUAAAAAGUAUCUAGAGGGGCCGGCACUGCGGUGUAGCAGGUAAUAGCCACCGCCUACAGUGCUGGCUUCUCAUGUGGGCACCAGUUCAAGUCCUGGCUGCUCCAUUUCUGAUCAAGCUCCCUGCUAUGGCCUAGUAAAGCAGUAUAAGAUGGCCUAAGUCCUUGGGCCCCUGUACCCACGUGGGAGACCCAGAGGAAGUUCUUGUCUCCUGGCUCUGGAUCAGCCCUGCUCCAGCCACUGCAGCCAUCUGGGGAGUGAACCAGUGUAUGGAGAACCUCUCUCUCUCUCUCUCUCUCUCUGCGUCUGCCUCUCUAACUUGCCUUUCAAAUAAAUAAAUAAAUCUUUUUUCUUUUUAAGUAUAUAGAUUGGAGGAAACCAUACAUACAUUGGGUCUGUUGAUAACACCUAACACCCAGUCCCCAACUUAAAUUCAACUCAACAGUUUUUCAACUUGAUAGUAUAAAAUCAAUGCUCAUUUAGUACAAACUAUAAUUUGAAUUUUGUUCUUUCCUGAGCUAGCAAUAUGUUGUACGACACAUUCUCGUGGUGCAGGUUAACUACUGGGCACAGCUCAUCAGCCAUAGAUUACUAACAACCAGUACUGCAAUCCACAGUGUACUGCAAUCCACAGUGCACUAUAGUCAAUAAACUAUAUGACACAUUCAAAACUUUAUUUAAAAAUUGGUUUAGUAUUAGAUGAUUUUGCCCAGCUGUAGAGCAGUGUGAGCAAUCUAAACACAGUUAAGGUGGGCAAGGCUAAGCUAGGCUGUUCAUUGGGCUAAGUGUGUUAAAGGCACUUUCAACUAAGGGAUUUUCAACUUAAGAUGUAUUUACUGAUACACAGCCCCAUCCUAAGUUGAGUUUACUGUACACUUAAAAUUUUAUUAAGAGGGUUAAAUCUCAUGUAACUGUCUUCACUUUGUUUUAAAAAAAGGACAUAGAAAGUUGAAACUAUACUGAAGUUGCAGAGGUAAUCCAUGUAAUUAGCUUUUGUAUUUUCUUAAAUUAUAAAAAUCUGUGAUUAUAGAAAAUAUGAGGGAAACCCAUUAUCACAUCAACAAAGGAUAAGCAAUAUUAUUAUUCUGGUAUAUUUCUUCCAGUCAUGUGACUGUGUGAUAUAUAUUUUCUAAAAACGGGUAGCAUACUACAAAAUUUUAUCCAUUUUUUCAUUUACUUGAUCACAUAUAUUUCCCACAUCAUGAUCCUUUUAACAUGAAGAUCCAUCCAUGAAUAAGCUUUCUUAUCACUUGCUUAUUUCAGGGAUAUAGAAAAGUCUUGGUCAACAGCUCUGAUUAUCUCCUUAGGCAAUUAUUUUAAGAGUAUUGCUUAGUCAAAGUAAGAACAUUUUUUAAGGCUCUUGAAAAAACUGCCAAGUUUCCCUCUGAGAAGGGUAUUUACCACUUAAUGGAUGAUAGCCAUAGAGAGAAAAGCCUGGUGCUAUGUAUGGAAGGACUUACCAGGGAGUCUUCUGUAAGUCAGCAGGGACCAAAAACAAUGGUGCUUCUAGGGAAGAAAUCUUAUCUUCUGGUUGUGUAAGAAGUAUGACCAGUUGGUCAACAGCUCCAUCAAGUUCUACCAGAAGGAGUGCCUGUGAAAUGAAAUGCAGCUUUUAAAUGCCCAGUAGAUGAAAGUCACAAGACAGAGGACUAGGGCCCUGUUCCACAAGCCCCACCUGCCUAACAAUUCACCCGCACGGAAGAAGCUAAAAAAAAAAAAGGAAAGAAAUGCUGCCAAAGCCUCUCUUCCUUUGCAAUAUAAAUCUCUGGGUACAAUAUUUUUAAAUUACCAUAUAAACAACUGCCAAUGAUGGAUUCCAAAUUUUGACAAAAUAGGAAAACAAAGACCAACAAACCAAAGAAGUGGAUGAGAACAUAUAUGUUCUACACAUCGUUCUAUUUCAAAAGCUUCAGGGCCUAGUGAAAUUGGGUGUGUUUUUUUUUUAAAUGUGGACAUAACAUAAGGAAAGGUAUUGUUUAUAUUCGUUCCCUGCAAGCAGGUGUUUUCGGCAGGGUUACUAAUUCCCAGGGCAAAACAAUCGGGGCCGCCCCUUUUUCCUCCUUUGCAUUUGAUUGACAAACUAGAGGCUACUGGAAAGAGAGGAGAGGAGAAAGGGCUUUGUUUUGUUUUGCAUGUAUUUGCACAGGAUCGCCCCCAGAAAUAAAGCCAGCGUGCAGAGCGCGGGCGAGGCUGUGGCUCUUUGUACUCGGCCGCUUCUCGGUGAGGGCGCCCUCCCCCGGCGCCGUGCGGACGGGCAGGGCGGCUGGGUCUCCCACCUCCAGCUCACAAUCGCCUUCUCUUUCCUAGGCGGUACUGAGGCACAGGUGGCGGUGCCGGGCGCGCCGCGGGAGCAGCAGCUCUACUGCAGCGCACACGGGCAGGCCCGGCCGGCCCGCGCCCACCCGCACGCCACCCUCCCCACGCCCUGCUUCGCGGGGCUCGAGUGCGGGCUGAGCUCGAGCCAGCCCUUCGCCCCCGCCCCCGGGUCCCGGCCCGCCUGGGCAGGUCGCCACCCCGGCAGCAGGCUCGAGGGUGACCGCAUCCCCGAGAGGAGGCGGGCGGCGGGUACUUAUCUCGGACCUCCGGGGACGCGAACGAUGCGCCGCACGGCGGCCCGUCCUCCAGCUGCUGGGGCCGCGCGAUAGCGCCGGGCACGGCCGCAAGAUGGACUCGCGGCGGCCGUCCUCCUGCGCCCGCAGCCGGGGCCCCGCCUCCCGGGCCGCCGGGCCUUAGUCCCGCCUCCCGGCCGCGCCUCCCCGGGGGAGCGGAGCUGCAGCGCGCGUCCUUCCGGCGUCGACGACCGCCCUGCCCGCCCCGGGCGCUGCCCUCCGCGGCGGCCCGCAGGGGAGGGCGAGCGCGAGGGCCGGCCACAGGACGCGGACGUCUCCCUGCUCGGCCGACACGCGAUACGAUGGUUGGGUUUGGAUUGUUGUACUUUUUUUUUUGUUCGUUGCAUUUUUGGGAACAAAAAAAAAAGCCCAACCCUUCACACCACUUCAUCGGCAUCUGUGAGGAGCAGAAGAGCGGAGCCUGCCGAGCGAGCGCCUCCGGCAGGGGCGACACCCCAGUCGGGUUCACGGUCAGACCCCACCCCAGCUCUGCACCUGCUGCUUUGGCGUUUUAGGCAGGGCACCAGCGACCCAAUUCUAUUCGAAAUUCUCUCUUAGGAAAAAGAACACUGCUUUUUCCUUUGGCGAGAACAGCUUUUAAAUUGGCUCUAUAUGACCCACGGCUAACAGUCGAUAACCUGCCUCUUUUUCCUGACGUCCCCCCUGGGCUUCUUGUGUGAUGUCAGAGGCAUGGGGCACUUCCCAGUGAGCAGGCUGUGGGAGACGCAGAGCUGAAGAUGCCCGAAUGGCUCCUCUCCAAAACUCCCAGCCUUGAGGUGUGUUGUCGGGGUGAGUUCUCCCCAACAUGGGGACGUCUGGGUUUGGGAGCCAGGAGAAGGUCAUUUUGGAGAAAGCACGUUCAAGUCCUACCAUUCACGGCCCUUAGUCCCCCUGACUGGUAAUAAUGAACCCAAACCCCACCCACCCCUGGCCACUCCCUCCUACCUGAGAUGCCCACCUCCGUGUGCAUCUGCCUUGCUGCAGCACGGCCAGUAACCUAAUUUUGCCUUUGUGAAAUAGUUCCUAUAAAUUCUGCCCCUUCACUUUCAUAAGAACACCGUGAGAUGCAAAUUGUGAACUUCCACCUAUAGGUAAAGAAACAGGCAAAGUGCUUUCUCCAAGGUUAAAAACAAGCAACAGCUAAGCCUAAAUUCAGAUCCCAAGUACAGAGUGUUUCUACAGCAGUCUUAGAUGAAUCUGCACUCCAAUUCCCUACUAAAUUAAUGUUAUUAAAAAUAAACUUAGAGAAACAUUUUAAAUACCCUAAUAUUAAAAUGACACUGGAGUAAAAGGUUAUUAACUCAUAAAUACACACGUGUAGUUAGAGCUGUUGGUAGCAGAUACUGUAACAAUAAACCUAUGCCCAACUAAAGGUAAAACACUUGUUAAAUCUAUAGAGCAAUCCCUAAGCUGUUACAAUUAACCACUAAGUAAAGGACAUGGCAUGUGACUCUCAAGUGCAGGAAACUGGGAAGGGAAGAGAGCCUUCUCUUUUCUCCUAUGGUCCUACACACAGCAUCAAGGGGCCUGUCCUACAUAGUGUGACUAGAAAACAGUAUCCACGGGAUGAAAACUCUGCUUCCUGGAGACCACAGUGUAACUAGACCCUGGUAGAAGAGUGCAGCCACUCUCAGACUUCUCUCCACACCAGAAUUUCCUUCUGUUGGCUGUUCUCCAAAUGAGAACACUGAUGCUGAAGCUUGGAAUUCAUAUUGCAGCACAGUGGCAAGGGGCAAGGCUGCAGUCUUAGGUGGGUUUCUGUCUUUUAGGAAAAAUGUUUUUUACUGGGUAGAAUGUCAAGUCAGAUUUUUUUCUUCAUUUACUUAGUGUUGUGUUAACUUAUCUGAUGGUGGUGUUUUUGUCCUGGGCCUUGACAAAGCUAAGAACUUAGCGCUGCUGCUCAACCAAGACGUAAGUGAUCAACUGUCUCGUAACAAAAGGGACAGUGCCAAACUUAGUGUACACUGCAGUGUCAGUUGUCAGUGAGGAAUCACUCUUAAGUAAGACUGGGGCAGUCGUGGCAGGGAAGGAGUACUGGUGAGCCUCCCCAGGUACCUUGGAACUUUUUAUUCUGUCCUUGUCUGUGGUCUCCAGAAUUACACACAUUCCCCCGUGAGAAUUCCUACCAAGAAAAGACACUGACACUGCAAGCUGCUCCAAAAAGGACACAGGGUUUGGAAUGAGUUCUGCAUCCCAGAUCUAGCUCUCCCACUUCCUUGUUCAACUUACACAGCGUCUCUAAGCCCCAGUUUUCUCCUCUGUAAAAUCGAAGUCAUGACACAUUUGAUUAUGACAAUUAAGUCCUAUAUAAAGCAACCGUCAGUAUGUUCUGACACACAGUUGGUGCCUAAUGGUUGCUACUGUUAUUUAGAAGAAAACCAUGCUCAUUUUGGGAUGCAUUUGGUCUGGAUUUGUAAACCUGGACACAAGCCCGACAGUCCAAGCAGAGCUAACCUGCUCAUGCGGUAGAGGAAGUUACCACCACCGUCUUUCAGUGCCUUAGAUCCAGGCCCUGGAGGUCCUGUAAAAGCUGAUGCCCUUCCACUUCUGCACCCCUUUCCCUGUGCCUCGGGAAAAGGGAGAAAAACUCAAUGAAGGGAAAACUCUUUGAUUUUCUAAAGCUUUCCCCAUUUGUAAAGAAAAAUCCAAAACAUUUGCAAAGAGCAUUCAAAACAUUCCUUCAAAAGGGAAAAACCAAGAAAGACAGAAACUUACCUAAGAUUUGAUGAGAUUACAGGGAAUCAGUCUCUGAUUUGAAGAAAUUUCCAGAUUCCAUAUAUUUCAGUUGCACAGUGAAGAGCAUGCACUAUAUAGCAAGAUCAGUUGGCUUUGGAAGGAUGAGACACUGAAGCAACAGUAAACUUUAGUUACGCCGUUUCUGCAGAUGGAAAGAAAAAUUGUAAUAAGUCAGAGGUAAUUAUGAUGAUUCUAGCAUAUGCUUAUAAUUUUAUACUCUGUCGAAUUUUGUAAUUCUCAGGAUUGCACUAGGCACCAAAUAUACCAAUCAAGAAAUUUCCCAUUUGACUGAAGACACAAGUCCUGUUACUUGGUACAAAUUGCACAUGAUACUGAUGUCAGCACUAAAGUGACUGAUUAAGGAUAAGAAGGCCAAAGGCAUGCCCCCAGAAACCUCGGGAGAGGUUUCACAAGGGUGCUGGGAGUUGAACUGAACCUGUAGUGACCUUUAGUGAAGAGAAAGGAAGGGCACUGAAGGUAAAGAGCACAGCCCUGGCUUGCUCAGGGAAAAGAGUGGCCUGCUUUGGAAAUCAGUCUGAGGCUAACGUAUAGAAUGUUUUGAAUGUCAUUAUAAAGAGUUGAACACCGUUCUUUAGGAAAUGAAAAGUCACCAAGUAACUAUGUAUGUCGCACUAACAAAAUGUCAGCAAAUUUCAGGAAGGUUAAUUUGAUAUUUUUGAGAUUUGUUAUUUAAAAUUACAGAUUUUUUUAAAAGAUACAUCAUAUAUAAGCAUAUGUAAUUCAGUCUUACGGAACCAUUUAACAUCAAAUAUGUUAUCUAUUAAAUUUCAUUUGUAAAUAAAGUAUAAUAUAUAAAGAAUUGUGGCAAAUAUACUUCAACAAUCCUCCAACAGGCAAUUACAUGUGUGUUUAUGUACUUGUACAUCAAUCACAUGUAUAAUUUGUUAUACUGAUAUUAACUAAGUUGUGUAAAAGACCAGUGUUGCUAUGAUUUAGAGCAAGCCUCACUAGAGCUUUAAAAAUCAUUACAUAAAUAUUCUCAGAACUGUAUUACUGUUUUGAUAUUUGAAAAAUAAUUAUGUUCAAUUAUGAUAAUUAAGUGCUUUUCUAAACUUAAUUCCUACAUAUGUAGAAUUUUAUGUUUGAUGAAGAGUAACACUGUGAGGGCCUUAAAAUGAUUCAUUCAAGUAAAUACUAAAAAUAUUUACAACUGUUUAAGAGAACUUGAUUUGUAUAAAUUGUUCAUUUUCAUUCAUUCUGUUGAACCCACUAAUCAUUAUGUGUUUCAUAUUUAUCUUUUAAAAUGUCAGUUGUGAUUACAAAGUUCUAUUUUGGUUUGGAGAAAAACUUUCAUUCUGCUCCAUGGGACAUUUUUAAGAGUAUUUCUUUGCAAAUAAGGAUAUGAUAUGGGUAGGAGCUCUCUAGUACUCAGCACCUGAUUUUUGUACCUUAAACACACCCUUUUCUUCUUAAAUAAAGGCAACUGUAUUCUCACAGAACUUUUUGGCUCUGAGGAUGUAGAUUUAUCAGAUACUCACCUGUACAGCAUUGCACAAGAAAGACAUACUUCAUAUGUUUUUAACAUGAGCCUACUCAGGUCUCUCUGAUGUCAAAGCGUUGGGUAAUAAAUGCCUUGUCAAAAUGUGCUUGUCUUAGAGUAGUCUUGUUGUUUGUAUCGCUGUGUGGGUAUUGCUGGCAUGCGGCCAGACCUCCAGAAGCUUGGGAUGGAUCUAAAGCAGCCCACACCCCUCCCAGUCAAGAAGACCAACAAUUCCAAAGAUGCAGGAAAUGGAUCAUGCACCAUCAGCACAAUAUAGGCAUUUUGUAAAGGUUACUGACCUCUGUAUUGCUAAACCCAACAGACAUUUUUUCAGUUCUAAUUUCCUUGCUCUCUCAGCAGCAUUCACUUCUUGGAAGGCCCUCUACUGCCAGCCUUCAGAAACACCACACUCCUGGCUUCUUUUUCUACCUCUUCUCAACAUUUAAAUUCUUGAAUUCCUCAAACGCUCAGUUUUAGGAUAUUCUCAGGACUUUAGUGGGUAUUUCAUGACUUUCAUAUUCCCUUUGAAUCAGUAAUCACAAACUCAUCACUUCUCAAUGAUGAAAACUGUUUGAAUUUAAGUACUUUAGGAGACACAAGUUCCUUCCUCCUCUCCCACAAUCCUUACAGUCUGCAAGCACUGGAGAUAGUCCUCAUGUUGCUCAGAGCUGGUAUUCUUUCAGCUUUGGGGCUCCUGCCUCCAAUGGUUCCUUCCCUACCAACAGCUCCUCCUCUCCAGCCAUCUCCCACCCUGUCCCCCAACCACAGCACAACUGAGCCAUCUCAGGUUAGCCGCCACCAUAUUCAGGCCAGGAAGAGAUCUCUCUUAGUUAUGUCCUCUGAUGCUAUUCUUUUUUUUUUUUUUUAAUAUUUAUUUUAUUUAUUUAUUUAUUUAUUUUUUGACAGGCAGAGUGGACAGUGAGAGAGAGAGACAGAGAGAAAGGUCUUCCUUUGCCGUUGGUUCACCUCCAAUGGCUGCCGCAGCCAGCGCACUGCGGCCGGCACACCGCGCUGAUUUGAUGGCAGGAGCCAGGUACUUAUCCUGGUCUCCCAUGCGGGUGCAGGGCCCAAGGACUUGGGCCAUCCUCCACUGCACUCCCUGGCCACAGCAGAGAGCUGGCCUGGAAGAGGAGCAACCGGGACAGAAUCCGGCGCCCCAACCGGGACUAGAACCUGGUGUGCCGGCGCCGCAAGGCGGAAGAUUAGCCUAGUGAGCCGUGGCUCCAGCCCUGAUGCUAUUCUACCAUGCACACUGCAGUUUGCUAAUAUGUAUUUACUUGUAUAAUUAUUUGAAUAAUGUUUAUCCACUUGACUAUAAAUUCUAGAAGAGUUGGGACUGUGUGUGUGUGAGAGAGAGAGAGAGAGAGAGAGAUCUCAUCAUUGCAUUCCCAGCAUCUAAACCAGUAAGUUAGGGAAGUAAGAGUUCUCCAUUUAAACAAUUAUUGAUAUAUUUCAAAUAUCUAAAAAUUGGCUAUCGAGAUCAGCUGAAAUGAUAAUGAAUCCUGAAUCUUAUUUCACUUGAAAUAGACACUUCAGCAUAUUUUAUCAAAACAAAAUAUCUUUCCAACUUUUGUUACACCACAAGGUUUAUCACACUCCCCCUAUAGCUUAUACAUAUAUGUGUAGUCUUACUCUUCACAGAAUAACACAUCUCUUAAAAUGACAGAAAAUUUCCUAAACAGUCUAUCAGAGAAUUAUUUCUUAUAUGGUUAUUUUAAAAAAUAUUUAUGUAUUUUUAUUUAUUUGAAAGGUAGAGAGAGAUAGAGAAAGAUCUUCCAUUUGCUAGUUUAUUCCUCAUAUGCCUGCAACAGCCCAGGCUGGGCCAGGCUGAAAUCAGAAGCUCAGAGUCUCCCAUGUGUGUGGCAAAGACCCAAGUUACUUCAGCCAUUGCCUGUUACCUCCCAGGGUGCAUAUUAGCAGGAAGCUGAAAUCAAAAGCAGACCAGGACUCAAAUCCUAGCACCCUGGUAGGAGAUGAAAGUGUCCCAGGCAGUAUCUUAACUAAUGCACCAAAUGCCAGCCUCAUCAGAAUUAUCAAAAAACCAAGAACCUUCUUUCUGAGGAUAAGCAUCAACCAAUACUCCAUUAAAAAACUGAGUAAUAUGACUAAAUAUGUUUGGAGUGAUCACGGGGCUUAGCAGUUAAGACACAGCUUGGGACACACAUCCCAUAUUGGAGGACCCAAGUUUGAAUUCUGGCUCUGCUCCUGAUUCCACUUUCCUGAUGAUGCAAACCCUGCGAGGCAGCAGUAAUGGCUGAAGUAAUUGGGUUCCUCCCAUUCACGUGAGAGACCUGGAUUGAAUUUCCAGUCCCUGGCAUCAGCCCCAGUCAUCGUGUGUGUUUGGGGGAGUAAGCCAAUGGAUAGAAGUGCUCAUUCUCUGUCUAUCACUCUUUCAAAUAACUUCAAUGAAUAAAUUUUUAAAACAGAGCAUCAUUUAAUAGGAUGUACAUCUAGUAAAAAGAUGAUGAAGUUUCAUAUGUUGACACUGAGACCUGUAUAGUAGUAAAAAAAUUAAAAAACUAUGUGUACUAUGAUUUCAAUUUUGAAAAUAAAUAUAACUGAUAGAAUAUGUGGAAGAAGGAAAAUUUUUAGGAAAACAAACCAAAUUUCCCAUUUGAAAGGAUGGAAUAUAGGAAAUUUCUAGUAUCUGUUUUAUAGUGUUAUAUUUUCUUAUAUUUUUCCAUUAAGCAUCUAUUUUGUAAUGUAUACAAAAAAGGAAAAAGAUGAAUUUAUGAAAUAAAAUAGUUGGAUCAAAUAUAGGAAAUGUAUAUAACUAUAUUACAAACUCCUCCAAAUGAAUGACAAGCAUCAAAACAGAAAAACAGGUGAGUAUAAAAAACAAACAACUGAUAAAAAAAGAAACAACUGAUCAACAGCAUGAGAAGAAAAUCUCAUUCUCAUUGAUAAUUAAACAAAUCCAAGCAAAAUAUUGAUACAACAUUUUCAAAUCCAUUAACUUGGCAGAAAUUUAAAAUAUAAUGACCAGCAGGCAGUGGCUAUUGGUAUAGACCAUUUUGUUUGUUGCUGGAGACCAAUACUGAUGGAUAUACGUUUCUGGUAAUCCAUAUCAAAAACACCCACAAUGUGGGGAAGACAUUGUAUGGGAGACUAAGCCACUGCUUGGGACACUGGCAUCACACUAUGCCUGGUUCAAGUCUCUGCUGCUCUGCUUUGGAUGCAGAUUCCUGCUAAUGCAUCUGGGAAGUAGCAGGUGCUGGCCCAAGUGUGCAAGUUCCUGAUAUCAAUGUGGAGGCUCCAGAUGGACUUCUGGAUCCCGGCUUCAGACUGGCCCAGCCCCAGCUGCAGCAGCCAUUUGGGGAGGGUGCCAUGAUGGGUGGAAGACUGGGGGCUGGAGAGAAGACCUGCUUUAUAACAACCCAUUCUUGAGUUGUCUAAUCCAUUUCCAGAAGAUUUUACUCACUCCCUCAAGAACCCAGUCUCUCAAGAAAUGCCAGGGUAUAGACCGGCACCGUGGCUCACUAGGCUAAUCCUCCACCUGCUGUGCUGGCACCCCGAGUUCUAGUCCCGGUUGGGGCACCGGAUUCUGUCCCAGUUGCUCCUCUUCCAGUCCAACUCUCUGCUGUGGCCUGGGAAGGCAGUAGAGGAUGGCCCAGGUCCUUGGGCCCUGCACCCACAUGGGAGACCAGGAAGAAGCACCUGGCUCCCGGCUUCGGAUUGGCACAGCGCACCAGCUACAGCAUGCCAGCCGUAGCGGCCAUUUUGGGGGUGAACCAACGGAAAAGGAAGACCUUUGUCUCUGUCUCUCUCUCUCUAACUCUGCCGGCAAAAAAAAAAAAAUAAUAAUAAUAAUAAUAAUAAUAACAGGGUAUCAACUGGCACCAUAAUAUAGAAUACCAGCAUUGUAACAGGUGGCUAAACCCACUGAGCCACAACACUAGCCCCUACAUCUCAGUUUUAAAGGUAGGAAAAGGGGGACUGCGUUGUGAUGUAAGGUGGGGUAAGCUCCAUUUGUGAGCCCAUAUCAGAGUGUGCUGUUCCACCUCCCAUCCAGCUCCCUGCUAAUGCAGUGAUGGUAGCCCAAAUACAUGGGUCCCAGUAACCCACAUGGGACUCAGAUGGAGCUCUAGGCUCCUGGCUUUGGCCCAGCCCAGCCCUGGCCAUUGCAGCCAUUCGGGGAGUGAACCAACAGAAGAUAUCCCCCACCCCUGAUCACUCUGCCUUUCAAAUAAACAAAAUAAAGUUUUUAAGGCAGAGAAAUGUGAUGACCUGUAGAAGUUUCCUAGAAAAAAAAGUUUAAAACUUUACAGUCUUAAACAAAUAUAACAGGUAUUCCAGGAUAGCUGAGAAGGGAAAAGAUGUACUGCUUUAGGCGAUGGGAAAAUAGAAAAAAAGUGGAGGAGGUGCAUUCCCAGGGGAGAGUUGGAGAGAAAUCUGCAGUGGAAAUUCUACAGAAGGAAGAGGGAUGCACAGCAAUGAGUUAAGACACAACACAUGAUCGCCACAGCCAAGAGCUGGAGGAUACAGCAGCUUUGGAGAGAGGUGAAGAGUAGACUGCAGCAGCCCAUGACGCUGCUGGAGGGAGAGCCUUGAAGACCACACUGCCUGAGUCUGGCCUGGAGCCCUAAAGGGAAUCAAGGUACCCACCUAACCCAGUGAUUAAAAAAAAAAAAAAAAAGAAAGGCAUGUUUCUUUCUCCUGAUCCCUGCGUAAGGGCACCAUUUUGAAGCCAGUAGCAGCAGUGGCUCUUGUGCACACAUGUGAUCUGGGGAUUUUAAAAGAGGGAAAAAUCCUCAUUCCCCACUGACUUUGAGUCUGGCUGAGAGGUCUGACAGAACACUGGGCACCCACGUAGGACUGUGAGGUGCCCUGAGCCUCUCAACAUAUCACGGACUAUGGAGCUCAAACCACCAAGGCAGAGCACCCACAGGCAGCUGGCUCUGGGAAGGUCUCUGCUCUCUCCGUGCACAUGACAGGCUAGUGGGGAGGAGUGGAUCCUCUGCACCCCAUCACUGUGGGAGCCUUGGGCACUGUGACUGUGGGAACCCUGUGACUGCACAAGCUGGUCUCUGGGCAAUCACUGUGUCCCAUGACAGAGGCUCAGAACUCCCUGGUUGCCUAGGGUUGGUCAUUGCAGCAGGAUCUCUGCUCACACAAAUGACUGCGCAGAUCCUUAUGCAGUUUAUGUAGUAGCAUGGGUGAGUGCUGCACCCACUGCAGGCUAACCACAGGCAUCCAUCAUCUUGGAAGAGAGAUCAGGGUAUGAUUACACAAACAGAGGUGAUCAUACCCUACCCUCUGCCAAGCACAGAGGAGCUCUACCACACCCACUUGGAUGUCACCCCAGAUACUGGCAGACACUGGAGCACUGGCCAUGCCUAGCACAUGUCUCUGGGGAUUCACUGAGAGCAGGCACUCCACUAAGCCUCAGAGGCAUAGUUCAAAGAUAAAAUCCAUCAGGGGAGGAAACCAACAAGUACUUCCACAAAUGCCUAAAAAUAAACAGAAAUUCAAGAAACAAGAAUAAGAAAGACAAUAUAACUUCCCCCAAAAGAACACAACAAUGUGAAGAUGAAGAGAUUGAUGAAAUGCCUGAAUAAAUAUUCAAGAGAUUGAUAAUAGGAUUACUUAGAAGCAAUGAGAAGCAAAUUCAUGAGUUAAAGAAAUCCAUACAUGACAUGGAAAAAAAAAUUUCCCAAGAAAUUGACAUUAUGAAGAGAAAUCAAACUGAAAUAUUAGAAAUGAAGAAUUCGGGCCGGCGCCGCAGCUCACUAGGCUAAUCCUCCAUCUUGAGGCGCCGGCACACCGGAUUCUAGUCCUGGUCGGGGCGCCGGAUUCUGUCCCAGUUGCCCCUCUUCCAGGCCAGCUCUCUGCUGUGGCCAGGGAGUGCAGUGGAUGAUGGCCCAAGUACUUGGGCCCUGCACCCCAUGGGAGACCAGGAGAAGUACCUGGCUCCUGCCACUGGAUCAGCACGGUGCGCCGGCCGCAGCGUGCCAGCCGCAGCGGCCAUUGGAGGGUGAACCAACGGCAAAAGGAAGACCUUUCUCUCUGUCUCUCUCUCUCACUGUCCACUCUGCCUGUCAAAAAAAAAAAAAAAAAAAUGAAGAAUUCAAUAGAGCAAAUUUAAAAAGUGGUAGAAAACGCAACAAAUUUGGUGAGACAGAAGAAAUAAUAUCUGUUCUAGAAGACAAAUCUUCAGAAAAUUUUAAUUCAGACCCAAAAAAGAGAAUAAAUUAGAAAACAUUUUUUAAAUGUUCAAGAUCUAUGUGAUACUAUCAGAUGACCUAACAUAUGGUUCUUAGGAGUUCCUGACAGUGUGGAAAGAGAAUGGAUUAAAAGGCCUAUUCAGUGAAAUAAUUACAAAAAACUUCCCUAAUUUGGAGAAAGAAAGGGACAUUCAAGUACAGGAAGCAAACAGAACUCAGUACACAUGACCACAAAAGAUCUUCACCGUGACACAUUAUAGUCAAAUUUUCAAUGGUAAAAAAUAAAGAAACUAUUCUAAAAUAUGCAGAGAGAAAUGCCAGAUUAUGUUCAGAGGAUCUCCAAUUAGACUCAAAGCUGAUUUCUCAUCAUAAACCCUACAGCCUAGGAGAGAAUGGAGAGAUAUAGUCCAGGUCUUAAAAGAAAAACACUGUCAGGGCCAGCGCUGUGGUGUAGUGGAAACCGAAAGAAUUUGUCACUUGUUCAGCCUUACAAAGGAUGCUUAAGGAUGUGCUACACACAGAAACAUAGAAAGACAGUUAUCAUUAUGAAAGAAUGUGAAGGCAGAAAAUAUCCCAGUAAAAGUACAAAGGAAAUCCAAAGCAAAAAAUAGGACUAUUUACCGAAAAAUGGCAGGCCCAAGUUAUUAGUUAUCAAUAAUAACCUUGAAUGUAAAUGGCCUAAAUUCUCCAAUUAAAAGACACAGACCAGCUGAAUGGAUUAAAAAAUAAGACCCAUCAACUUGCUGCCUACAAGAAACACACCUCAUCAACAAAGAUACACAAAGACUGAAAGUUAAAGGAUGGAAAAAGAUAUUUCACACUAACAGAAAGCAAAAAUAAGCAGGUGUAGCCAUCUUAAUAUCAGACAAAAUAGACUUUAACACAAAAACUUAAAAGAGACUGAGAUGGGCACUAUAUAAUGAUUAAGGGAUGGAUUCAACAGGAAGAUGUCACUUUAAUAAAUGUAUAUACCUAAUGCCAGGGUGCCUGGCUAUUUAAAAGAAAUGUUAAUGGAUCUAAAGGUAGAUAUAGACUCCAAUAUGAUAGUAAUGGGCUGGGGCUGGCGCUGUGGUGUAGCAGGUAAAGCCCCCACUUUCAGUGCCAGUAUCCCAGAUGGGUGCCGGUUCGAGUCCCAGCUGCUCCACUUCUGAUCCAGCUCUCUGCUAUGGCCUGGGAAAGCAGCAGAAGAUGGACCAAGUCCUUCGACCCCUGCACCCAUGUGGAAGACCUAGAAGAAGCUCCUGGCUCCUGGCUUCAGAUCGGCACUGUUCCAGCCCUUGCAGCCAUCUGGGGAGUACACCAGUGGAUGGAAGACCUCUCUCUCUCUCUCUCUGCCUCUCCUUUCUCUGUGUAACUCUUUCAAAUAAAAAUAAAAUAUUUUUUUUAAAAAAAUAUUACUGGGGAACUUCAAACACCCUACUUUCAUCAAUGGACAGAUUAACUACACAGAAAAUCAACAAAGAAACAACAGAGCUAAUCUACACUAUGUACCAUUUGGAACUGAUAUCUAUAGAACCUUUCAUACCACGGUUGCAGAAUACACAUUGUUUUUAUCAGUGCAUGGAAUUUCUCUAGGAUAGACCAUAUGCUAGGU